UAGGCCCUACGGGACGCAGCAGUGGGGAAUAUUGGACAAUGGGGGAAACCCUGAUCCAGCGACGCCGCGUGAGUGAAGAAGUAUUUCGGUAUGUAAAGCUCUAUCAGCAGGGAAGAAAAUGACGGUACCUGACUAAGAAGCCCCGGCUAACUACGUGCCAGCAGCCGCGGUAAUACGUAGGGGGCAAGCGUUAUCCGGAUUUAUUGGGUUUAAAGGGUGCGCAGGCGGUCUGUUAAGUCAGCGGUCAAAGCCCGGGGCUCAACCCCGGCCCGCCGUUGCAACUGGCAGUCUCGAGUUG
rnacentral:rRNA from 1 species